GCCGGGCACAGUGGCUUUUGCCUGUAAUCCCAGCACUUUGGGAGGCCAAGGCGGGCAGAUCACGAGGUCAGGAGUUCGAGACCAGCCUGGCCAAUAUGGUGAAACCCCAUCUCUACAAAAAAUACAAAAAUUAGCCAGGCGUGGUGGCACAUGCCUGUAGUCCCAGCUACUUGGGAGGCUGAGGCAGAAGAAUCGCUUGAACCUGGCUAAUUUUUGUAUUUUUAGUAGAGACGGGGUUUCACCAUGUUGGCCAAGCUGGUCUCGAACUCCUGACCUCGUGAUCUGCCCACCU
rnacentral:lncRNA from 10 species